UCCAAAAGGGGGGACCCCUGCACCUCUGCU
rnacentral:piRNA from 1 species